AGAACUAUCUACAAACGGCAUGGGACACAAGGGUUGCCGACAACAGACGCCAACCUUUACAGCAGGUGUUUCACGAUAACAUCCCGGGAGAUAUCGUUUUAUACGUUGAGGCAGACGACAAGUUCUGCUUAUCUAUCGGUACGAGACAGCUGACGCGAGCCCGUCUCUUCUAAUCGUACCGUAUGGAUAAAAUAUCUACCGGUACUUCACGACACGUUCCGGGAGACAUCGGGAGAAUCUCCGGGUUCAUCUUUGAGGAGAUCUGCGGUGCUCAAAACAGCAGACAGACGACUAGGCCUUUAUAUCAGGCAUUAGACAAGGAACUCUGACAGCAGAAGUCGUGACUGCAGAAUCAGUGAACAGUUCUGAAACACGGUUGGACCUGUGCUGGGGAGGAAGGAGGAUUACUGUGUGUGACAGGAGGGUGACACGACAGGCAGCAAAGCCUAAAUCACCUAGGAAUCCUGCAAAGCAGC